CUUCGGGGACACCGGCGGACGGCUCAGUAACACGUCGGUAACCUACCCUCGGGAGGGGGAUAACCCCGGGAAACUGGGGCUAAUCCCCCAUAGGCCUGGGGUACUGGAAGGUCCCCAGGCCGAAAGGGGCUUUUGCCCGCCCGAGGAUGGGCCGGCGGCCGAUUAGGUAGUUGGUGGGGUAACGGCCCACCAAGCCGAAGAUCGGUACGGGCCAUGAGAGUGGGAGCCCGGAGAUGGACACUGAGACACGGGUCCAGGCCCUACGGGGCGCAGCAGGCGCGAAACCUCCGCAAUGCGGGAAACCGCGACGGGGGGACCCCCAGUGCCGUGGCACAGCCACGGCUUUUCCGGAGUGUAAAAAGCUCCGGGAAUAAGGGCUGGGCAAGGCCGGUGGCAGCCGCCGCGGUAAUACCGGCGGCCCAAGUGGUGGCCGCUAUUAUUGGGCCUAAAGCGUCCGUAGCCGGGCCCGUAAGUCCCUGGCGAAAUCCCACGGCUCAACCGUGGGGCUUGCUGGGGAUACUGCGGGCCUUGGGACCGGGAGAGGCCGGGGGUACCCCUGGGGUAGGGGUGAAAUCCUAUAAUCCCAGGGGGACCGCCAGUGGCGAAGGCGCCCGGCUGGAACGGGUCCGACG
rnacentral:rRNA from 1 species